rnacentral:rRNA from 1 species
GUUGAACGCUGGCGGAAUGCUUUACACAUGCAAGUCGAACGGCAGCACGGGAGCAAUCCUGGUGGCGAGUGGCGAACGGGUGAGUAAUAUAUCGGAACGUGCCCGGUCGUGGGGGAUAACGUAGCGAAAGCUACGCUAAUACCGCAUACGAUCUACGGAUGAAAGCGGGGGAUCGCAAGACCUCGCGCGAUUGGAGCGGCCGAUAUCAGAUUAGGUAGUUGGUGAGGUAAAGGCUCACCAAGCCGACGAUCUGUAGCUGGUCUGAGAGGACGACCAGCCACACUGGGACUGAGACACGGCCCAGACUCCUACGGGAGGCAGCAGUGGGGGAAUUUUUGGACAAUGGGCGCAAGCCUGAUCCAGCAAUGCCGCGUGCAGGAUGAAGGCCUUCGGUU